rnacentral:rRNA from 1 species
UAAUCAUGCAAGUCGAGCGAAUCUUUGGGAGCUUGCUCCCAUUGGUUAGCGGCGGACGGGUGAGUAACACGUGGGCAACCUGCCUGUAAGACUGGGAUAACUUCGGGAAACCGGAGCUAAUACCGGAUAAUUCUUUUCCUCUCAUGAGGAAAAGCUGAAAGUCGGUUUACGCUGACACUUACAGAUGGGCCCGCGGCGCAUUAGCUAGUUGGUGAGGUAACGGCUCACCAAGGCGACGAUGCGUAGCCGACCUGAGAGGGUGAUCGGCCACACUGGGACUGAGACACGGCCCAGACUCCUACGGGAGGCAGCAGUAGGGAAUCUUCCACAAUGGACGAAAGUCUGAUGGAGCAACGCCGCGUGAGCGAUGAAGGCCUUCGGGUCGUAAAGCUCUGUUGUUAGGGAAGAACAAGUACCGGAGUAACUGCCGGUACCUUGACGGUACCUAACCAGAAAGCCACGGCUAACUACGUGCCAGCAGCCGCGGUAAUACGUAGGUGGCAAGCGUUGUCCGGAAUUAUUGGGCGUAAAGCGCGCGCAGGCGGUCCUUUAAGUCUGAUGUGAAAGCCCACGGCUCAACCGUGGAGGGUCAUUGGAAACUGGGGGACUUGAGUGCAGAAGAGGAAAGCGGAAUUCCACGUGUAGCGGUGAAAUGCGUAGAGAUGUGGAGGAACACCAGUGGCGAAGGCGGCUUUCUGGUCUGUAACUGACGCUGAGGCGCGAAAGCGUGGGGAGCAAACAGGAUUAGAUACCCUGGUAGUCCACGCCGUAAACGAUGAGUGCUAAGUGUUAGGGGGUUUCCGCCCCUUAGUGCUGCAGCUAACGCAUUAAGCACUCCGCCUG